rnacentral:rRNA from 1 species
AGCGGCGGACGGGUGAGUAACGCGUGGGUAACCUGCCUCAUACAGGGGGAUAACAGUUGGAAACGGCUGCUAAUACCGCAUAAGCGCACAGUACCGCAUGGUACGGUGUGAAAAACUCCGAUGGUAUGAGAUGGACCCGCGUCUGAUUAGGUAGUUGGUGGGGUAACGGCCUACCAAGCCGACGAUCAGUAGCCGACCUGAGAGGGUGACCGGCCACAUUGGGACUGAGACACGGCCCAA